AUUGAACGCUGGCGGCAUGCCUUACACAUGCAAGUCGAACGGUAACAGGUCUUCGGAUGCUGACGAGUGGCGAACGGGUGAGUAAUACAUCGGAACGUGCCUAGUAGUGGGGAUAACUACUCGAAAGAGUGGCUAAUACCGCAUGAGAUCUACGGAUGAAAGCAGGGGAUCGCAAGACCUUGUGCUACUUGAGCGGCCGAUGGCAGAUUAGGUAGUUGGUGGGAUAAAAGCUUACCAAGCCGACGAUCUGUAGCUGGUCUGAGAGGACGAUAAGCCACACUGGGACUGAGACACGGCCCAGCCUCCUACGGGAGGCAGCAGGGGGGAAUUUUGGACAAUGGGCGCAAGCCUGAUCCAGCAAUGCCGCGUGCAGGAUGAAGGCCUUCGGGUUGAAAACUGCUUUUGUACGGAACGAAAAGCCCCGGGUUAAUACCCUGGGGUCAUGACGGUACCGUAAGAAUAAGCACCGGCUAACUACGUGCCAGCCGCCGCCGUAA
rnacentral:rRNA from 1 species